AUGUUACUGAUCUUAAUGCAUUCAAAUCUAUCAUUCUUUUCACUUAUGGUUUGUGAUUUCUAUAUUUUUAAAUAUAUUGUUCACCACCCUGAGGCCAUGAAGAUAGCAUCUACAUAUCUUUUCAGAAGAAUUUCUUUUUUUUGAGUCUGCACUGUGAUUUAUGGAAAUUGGCAAACAAUUUCUAGAUGAUAAGAUGAAAGUCUACAGAACGCAUAGAUGUAACCUAACUGCUAAAUACCCCCUUGAGACCUUAUGAGUAGAAUAAAAUGCAGAUGUUUAUAGUGAGGUUCAUCUUCUCAUUCAGGCUGCCAGCAUCAGUCUGUGUUAGAAACGCAGGAGAACACCGAUACAUGUUUGGGUGGUUGGAAGGAAACAGACUCAAAAAGAUGUGCUUUGGAAUGGAGCACCAUUGCAGAGAGUAAGUAAAGGAAGCCCUGGAAAUGGAAGCCCUGGAAGAAUAUUCCAGAAAGCCUUAUGUCGGAGGACUUGGCUGAGUCCUGGAACACUCUGAAAAAUCAGGUGUGGCUAUUAAGAGGAGCCUCUGGUCACCAUGGUUGAAGAACAGGCUGAAUCUCGAGCAGGGCUUUGAGAGAAAGUGGCAGCUCUACCCAGCAGACCCCUUCAGAGUAGUAUGGAGUUUUCAAAAUCCAGCUUCCCGGCUUUAGGAACUGACUCCACCAUGAGACAGCACUUUCAGAAAUGAAGAGGAAUCUCCUAACCUAAAGGGGGAAAAGCUAGAGGGAAUGCUGUCAUAUUGAAAGAUGAGGUUCAUUUUACUCAGAGCUGCUGCAGGUAAAGAGCAACCAGAAACAGUUUUUGCUGGAGAGAGAGCAAGGCCGUUGCUUCCCUGUGCCUGAACUUCCUGUCACUACGGCCAGUUAACCUUGACCUGGGAGGAACACUUUUAAAGCUAGAGGCAUCCCUGGUAUGAAAUAGAAUGCACCCCUUUGGCUAGACGUCUACAGCUUCUUGAAGGAAAUGCACAAGGACAUAGCCACACUUUGUAUCUGGAGUAGAGAGUAGGCCAAAUUGAGAGAGGUAGAAAGCUGGUCCAUGGUGCACUGGUACCAACAAAGAAAGAAAACCAUACAGAGAAAAAAUGCCCUCCUGAGACUCUACACUCCAUCCCCACUGACUGUCUCUUCUGGCUACUGACACCCAAGUUUUGAAAUAGUUACAUGAUUUGUUUCCCCUUAAUUGUCAUUCAGGGUUGCAGAUUAACUUCUAAAAGGGAUAUAUAGAAGUUAAGAAAAAAAAAAAAAAAAAACAGGAAGAAACCCAAGGAGAAUUGGCACAGAUUCUUUUGGUGUACCUACCUAAUAGCCCAGACAGGCUGGUCCUCAUUUAAGAAUGGGUAAACAGAAUAAUUAAUAAACACCACCAUUGUGAUUUGAAGAGCUUCUAC
rnacentral:lncRNA from 1 species